GUUUGAGGCUACAUAUUGAAAGACAAAGCCAUUGUUGUCUUCCUUUCCUGAAAUGGGAUUUUUUUUGGUUUACUUCUGAUUUACAGCUUAGAGGCACAGAUGAGCCUGGAGCAACCUCCUGAUUAGUGGAGUUCCACAGAUGAGCCUGGGAAGUUGCACCAGGGCAGAGAUCAGUCCCAUCAAGGGGGACAGGUCUGCCAAUGCUCUUUGCUUAAUUUAAUUUGACUAAAUGAAAGUGAAUUUGGGCCACUGGACAAAAAGAAAAGGAAUGUUAUGGCAAGGGAAGAAACACUGAUUUCCUCCCCAGUAACAUCACUUCUAAACAUGGUGUCAGGGACAUGAUGGAAAGAUUCAGCAGGAGGCAAAGCUUCACAGUUUGAAGUCAGGUCCAAAUGGCAAAGCAACAUAUGCACAGCCUUGUCUGCAGUCUGGGGAGUCCUUUGUUGGUUUCCCUUGGUGCGUUACCGAGUUCCUCAGCUCUACCCAAGAGUUUAUCUGCUGGUUAAUGCUGGAUCUUCGUGCUCCUACAGCUGAGAAAAGGCUUCAGAGGCAUUUCCGUGGUGCUUUUACAGCACCUUCCCUAACCAUGUGGAAAAGAGCUGCUGCAGAAUCCAGAAGAAGCAAAAGUCUCCCAGCUCUGUCCCCUGUAGGGACACGGUGAUGGAUUCCCAGCGACUUCCCACAGGACUGCAGGGGAGCAAAAGCAGCCAGUGGUCAGUAAAACUGCUCAGGUGAGUGAGAGCUCUCC
rnacentral:lncRNA from 1 species